rnacentral:tRNA from 1 species
GCAUGAUCCUGCCUGGUGGUGGGUCGAGGCUUCAAACC